rnacentral:lncRNA from 1 species
AAUGUCACCCGAUGUCACGAUGUCACUUGGAAGAGGUGUCACCCCAUGGCUCAAUGGAUGUCACCCGGUGGCGGAUGUCACCUGGUGGCAGAUGUCAGUCGUCAUCUUG